CUUCUUCCCUGAGGUUUGGAUUUUGAAAUUUUUCCUGGAAGUAAGGUAGACUAGCUCCUGAAAAUGGUGGUAGAACUAAUUUAACGAGUAACAAGAUAUUAAUCUUAAGCAUUUCAUGCAAAUGUAGUAAAAUUUGGCAUGAUAUUAAAUCAAUGUUUGUUUUUUGAUUCUUAUAUGGAUGAAAUAAUUAUACUUGGGAAAAAGAUUGUGUAGAAAUAGCAUAUGCCAUGAGUAGCUCAACCACAUGAUCAUAUGCUAGUGGAAAUAGUUAACUGAAACUACUUCGCACUAGGUAUGGGAUCAGAGUGUAUUCUAACGGAUUGCAUUGUUAAGAAAUCAUCAGGGUGAGUUCAAUUUCUUAACUGAAAUUUAGGUCUAUGUGUACUCUCUCUCUCUCUCUCUCUCUCUCUCUCUCUCUCUCAUGUCAAUGUUCAGAAAGAGACUAUCAGGAGAGUUUUAAUAGCAACUCUUAGCUUCUAGAGGCGUACUUGAAUGCUUGUGUGCAAUACAGAGGCAUUGGUUAAGGAAUUGUUGAAAAUAGACUGUAGCAGUUGUGCAUGAUUUGGUAGUAUAGGGUUAAUGGUGGUUAUGAUGCUGGUUCCACCAGUGAAACGUUAACUGAGUGUAUCAUUUGGUAAAUGGAGCUGGUGCAGUUGCCUGAUGGUGAUAUUUGCCCAUGCUCAUAGUUGCUACUUGCUAUAGUGACAGGGUGGUUAUGGACAUUCUGAUGCGUGGUUCUUGAUUUCCCUGCUAAUAAGCUCUUGAAUCUAUUAGCAAUCAGAUUUUGUAUUCUUGGUAGGUUAUUAUUGUUCUCAGGAAAAGAACCAAAUUAAUAAAAUUAUUAUUUUUUAAUUUUUAAUUGCAUGAAGAACAUAAUGAGUGCCAUGAACAAUUUGGUGCAAAUCUGUCUUGUUGAGUUGGAUAAUGAAAGCUUAUAUUUUGUUUAUCUAAUUUACUAUAUUGUUUGGUAGGACUUGAUUUAACAAUCUGAUGUUAGAGUAUUAAAUUUCAUUAGCUUCUACACUAAAUUUUGUUGGCUCAUGUAGUAGUAACAUUACAGAGCUCUCGCUGAGCUAAAUUUUUGCAUAUGUGUUGGAGUUCGGAAUAUAUGCUUCUCAUUACAUGUUUAUGCAACUGCUCAUUUCAAUUUAAGUAUGAGGUGGGACACUAGCUAGUUACAUCUUACACAUGUGCUUUAUUAAUGAAUUUGAAUGUGAUGGCAAGUAUAUCACAGCUUUCUGUACAUGUUAAGUGCUAACUUUUGUUUUAACAAACAGUUACUACUUAGAGCUGAUUAACACAGCAUUGUCAAAUAUGUUGGAUUAGAUGUAUGAGUGAUCCCACUCCAUUAUGAAACAAAUAUCUGAAAUUUUCUCAUUUGAAUUUGUGCGAAUUUUGUAUCUCUGUUCAUUAUAAGUUCAUUAGGCUUCUUGUGAGAAACCCAAAGGAGAAAAAAGAGGGAAGGAGUUAAGUGGCUUUGGAGGUUCCCUAUUGAGCAAAACUGGUGGGCAUCAGCCAUGUGAAGUAAGUAUGGAGUCCAUGAUAAUGGGUGGGACUCUUGGGUUGUUGAGAGGCUCUGUCUGAUGUCCUUGGUCCUUUGGUGAAAUUUGUUGUGGGUAAUCAAAAUAAAGUCAAAUUUGGGAUGACAUUUGGCACGUUCUGGAGAAAUUUGAGUGAGAGAGAGUUCCAGGAAUGUAUGGACUUGUCUUCCUGUGUAAACAGUGUCUCCUUGGAAAUCGCUUUGAUGAAAGACCAUGGUCUGUUCUCUCCUCUGGUAACUUUUUUUGUAAAUGUCUUUUCUUUCAAUUGGUCAACAAUCAAUCGGGCCCUCCCUAUAAGCAAUUAGGUUGAUUUGGGAGGCUGAUGUUCCAGCUCAGGUGCAAAUUUUAACAUGGCUGGUGCUACAUGAGAAAAUAGAUAUUUGUGACAUGAUUCAAAGAAGGCGGCCCUAUUCAUACUGAUCACCAGAUUGGGUUGUAUUGUGCAAAAGGAAGGGGAGAAUGCUGACCAUAUUUCUAUACAUUGUCUGUUCCUAGAAAGAUUUGGGAUCACUUGUUGAUGGAGUUAAAAAAUGAUGUGGAUGUGUGUGAGGAACUGUUUUUCAUUGUUGUCAGUGGGUUUUUUAGUCGAGGCAAAAGAUGCUCUCUCCUUGGAGAUAUGCUGUUUUGGCUCUUAUGUGGCAUGUUUGGCUGGAAAGGAAUAGGAGGCUCUUGGAGGGGGCAAGGAAGAAGAUGCAGAGUUACUUUGGGACUGGAUUAGAUAUUUAGGUCCUACGGGGUUCUUCGACUAAGCAUUUUAAAGGCCACCCAUUCAUUAUUAUUGGUUGUGCGACCUUGAUAUUUUGAGUGUUUUAUGUGAUUUUGUUUCAGAUUGUCAUAUUAUGCUGAUGGAUUUCUUGUCCACCUUACAUUGUAUUUUCUGGUUGUUUUGUAUUUCUUAUUGAAAGAAAUAUUCAAUGGGAAUUCUCUA